AGAUUCUUAAAGAAGACAGAUUAUGAACACACCACACAACUACUGAUUGAUCGUCACUUGAAUUAAAUCAAUAGUUCUUUCAGGAGUGGCCAGUAGCUGUCAGCCCCAUAGACUCUUCUGAAGAAGGAACAUGUUUGUGGUGUUUCAGCUUAUUCUAGAUUCACUGGGACAAGGAGAAGGAGAGCACACAGUCUGACCCACAGCAAUGACUCAUCACAGCACUGGCACAAAGGUGUGGUGAGUGGCUGCAGGCAGGUAAGGUGGCCCAGCAAAAUGCUGCCUGUGGUUAUUCUGCUUUCUGUCAGGAUUGUAUAAAAUCACCAGCAUAUAACCUGGAGGCACCUCCUGGAAGGGCAUAGAUUCCCUACAGAUGUGAAGCAGUGCUUUAAAAGGAAUUGGUAUCAGUAUGUGAACUGCUUUUCUGCCCUAUCUCACUCUUCUCUG